rnacentral:lncRNA from 1 species
UUUAGAACAGUGAUGGAGGCAGUGAAGGAACUUCGGUAUAAGAGAUUGCAUCCCAUUUCUUCACUGGUCCCACCAAGGUGACCAGCUGUGUGACAAAUCCUCUAGAAUCUGGAGCUGACCCCUGAGGGGUUUCUCUGAGCUGGACUGACAGUUGCUGUAUCACUGGCAAUGGUACGGAAAGUUUGCUGCUUUGCCUUUACUGUUCUCAUUUUAAAUCCGACCUGGAGAAGGUCACGCUGCCCCUUCGACCUUGACGUCUGCAGCACCGUUCUGCACACACUGCGAGGAGGAAGGAGACCACUUCUAAAAUGAGGGACAUUGACUGCCCGUCCAACCGGGUGCCGUUCCCGGAAGUGCAUGCCCAGCUCGCCCUCCGCCCAGCCACACCCCUCCCAGGAAGCUGGAGGAGCACAAGGUAUUUUGACACAAGCUGGGAUUAAUUUAGGAUCAAAGUUGUCCCUCCAUCUGUCUCUUCCCAGUGAUUCAGUACAUUUUAGUAGGGCUUUGUUGGUUCAUUGUUUUAUAUUUGGUUCAAAAUUUCCCCCUAUUUGGGAACAUUUUGGUUCUCCUGAAAGUGCCACUGUUCUUGAUGAUAACAUCACUCAAGAGAGGGAUCCUGGUUGUCCUUCUGCCCUAUAAAGUCAGGGAGGGCUUCACUCACUCUGUGCCCUUCCUAACAGAGAUGCAUUUGCUGAGACGCUCUGCAGAUUUGACAGUAGCAUCUGCUCCACAGACUUUAAUGGAUGCUGCUUCUGCCUGCCAGAGUAAUAUAUGUUACUUUACUUGCUAUGGCUAAAUUAUUUUUCAAAAUCGAGUGAUUCAGCUACUUGAAGAUUUGAAAUCCU